CAUACUAAUGUUAAUGGCUGUGACAAUGAUGCAGAUUUCACUGAGACCUCUGACUAAGCCAGGCUAAUGGCAUGAAUUCUCAGGUAGGGAGAGAAGACAGUCGUCCUUCAUGGGCACAGAACCCACUGCUCUGUGGCUACCUGGAAGCAGCCAGCGUGGGCUUGCACGGCGUUGUGGGCGAGCCAGCCAGUGUACACUCGGGCUUCCAUGGGAAGAAGGGUUGAACAGCGCUCCCGCCUGCAGAGAGAUCGGCCUUCGUUGAGCUCUUACUUGCGUCUGGUCCCAGCACCAUGGUUUCCCACCCCAUGGGGGCUCUUGGGGUCCUGGGUCCCCUCCUGCUGCUCGGCCUCCAGCUGGUCUGUCCACAGCCCUCCACCGAGCACAGAAAGUGGCAGCUUUUACCUCUUUCCUAGAAGGCUGAAGCCACCCAAUGUCAACCGUCACCUUCGUCAUCCACUCCUUUCCUUACACCAGCAUGUUGUUUUCUGUAGUGAAAGAUCUCUUUUGUUUGUUUUCUUUUUUUCUGAUCAAACACUUUUAA